rnacentral:ncRNA from 1 species
UAUUUUCUGAACUGAACCUUUACCAAAAGUUUUUUUACCAACAAUUUUUGCACGCUUUAGAUCCUGCAUACAACCAGCAACAAUUUCAGAUGCACUGGCACUAAAUUCAUUAACCAAGACAACCAAGGGCAAUUCCGGGCGGGCGUAUCGCCCGGACGACUUGUGCAUAGAAUUUUCGCUUUUUCGCCGCCCUUCUGUGGUAACAAUUAAUUCGCCUUGUGCUAAAAACUUCUCACACACUUUCACAGCCUGAUCAAGUAACCCGCCAGGAUUAUGGCGUAA